ACGACUCUCGGCAACGGAUAUCUCGGCUCACGCAUCGAUGAAGAACGUAGCAAAAUGCGAUACUUGGUGUGAAUUGCAGAAUCCCGUGAACCAUCGAGUUUUUGAACGCAAGUUGCGCCCGAAGCCGUUUGGUUGAGGGCACGUCUGCCUGGGCGUCACGC
rnacentral:rRNA from 4 species